UGCGGGGUCGUCUAAUGGUAGGACUGCUCCCUUUGAAGGAGUCUAUGAACGUUCGAAUCGUUCCCCCGCAG
rnacentral:tRNA from 1 species